ensembl:lncRNA
AUGGAUCCCAUUUCCACCGCUAAACCUACCCGUCUCCACCGCCUGGAUCCCAUCUCCACCCCCAAACCCACCCGUCUCCACCCCCUGGAUCCCAUUUCCAGCCCUAAACCUACCUGUCUCCCCCCCCUGGAUCCCAUUUCCAGCCCUAAACCUACCUGUCUCCCCCCCCUGGAUCCCAUUUCCAGCCCUAAACCUACCCGUCUCCACCCCCCGGAUCCCAUCUCCACCCCUAAACCUACCCCGUCUCCACCGCCUGGAUCCCGUCUCCACCCCCUGGAUUCCAUCUCCAUCCCUAACCCUACCCGUCUCCACCCCCUGCAUCCCACCCCCACCCCCAAACCUACCCGUCUCCACCCCCUGGAUCCCAGCUCCACCCCUAAACCUACCCCGUCUCCACCGCCUGGAUCCCGUCUCCACCCCCUGGUUUCCAUCUCCCCCCCCCAACCUACCCGUCUCCCCCCCCUGGAUCCCAUUUCCAGCCCUAAACCUACCUGUCUCCACCGCCUGGAUCCCGUCUCCACCCCCUGGUUUCCAUCUCCCCCCCCCAACCUACCCGUCUCCCCCCCCUGGAUCCCAUCUCCACCCCUUAACCUACCCGCCUCCCCCCCCUGUUACCCAUCUCCACCCCUAAACCUACCCCUCUCCACCCCCUGGAUCCCAUUUCCAGCCCUAAACCUACCCGUCUCCACCCCCUGGAUUCCAUCUCCACCCUUAAACCUACCCGUCUCCACCGCCUGCACCCCUUCUCCACCCCUAAAGCUACCCAUCUCCACCCCCUGGAUCCAAUUUCCACCCCUAAACCUACCCGUCCCCACCCCCUGGAUCCCAUCUCCACCCCCAAACCUACCCGUCUCCACCCCCUGGCUCCCAUCUCCACCCCUAAACCUACCCCUCUCCACCCCCUGGAUCCCCUCUCCACCCCUAACCCUACCCGUCUCCCCCCCCUGGAUCCCAUCUCCCCCCCUAAAGCUGCCCAUCUCCACCCCCUGGAUCCAAUUUCCCCCGCUAAACCUACCCGUCUCCACCGUCUGGAUCCCAUCUCCACCCCUAAAGCUACCCAUCUCCACCCCCUGGAUCCAAUUUCCCCCGCUAAACCUACCCGUCUCCACCGCCUGGAUCCCGUCUCCACCCCCUGGAUCCCAUCUCCACCCCUAA